rnacentral:rRNA from 1 species
UGGGGAAUAUUGCACAAUGGGCGCAAGCCUGAUGCAGCCAUGCCGCGUGUGUGAAGAAGGCCUUCGGGUUGUAAAGCACUUUCAGCGAGGAGGAAGGUGGUGAGCUUAAUACGCUCAUCAAUUGACGUUACUCGCAGAAGAAGCACCGGCUAACUCCGUGCCAGCAGCCGCGGUAAUACGGAGGGUGCAAGCGUUAAUCGGAAUUACUGGGCGUAAAGCGCACGCAGGCGGUUUGUUAAGUCAGAUGUGAAAUCCCCGGGCUCAACCUGGGAACUGCAUUUGAAACUGGCAAGCUAGAGUCUCGUAGAGGGGGGUAGAAUUCCAGGUGUAGCGGUGAAAUGCGUAGAGAUCUGGAGGAAUACCGGUGGCGAAGGCGGCCCCCUGGACGAAGACUGACGCUCAGGUGCGAAAGCGUGGGGCAGCAAACA